rnacentral:lncRNA from 1 species
AAAAUAAGUGCCCGGCCUGGAGCAAUAGAUGCGAUCCACCACGUCGGUUUCGGUUUUGUUGCGUUUCGCGAACCGGCCCUUGAUCCUCGGACGAGUUUCGGCAUACGCUUUCCGCGAAGCAUAUCGGAUUGUUUUCUGGAACUUGCGUUUCUUCCUCUUCUCUCUGUAUCUCAAUACCCUCGCCUCCCUGUCCAGUCCGCAGAGCUGAGUCGCUGGUUGACUCGCAGGAGUUGCCGAGACCGGUACGCCGGCUUCCGAAACCUUGUUGUUGGCUUUUGGGCCGAAAGAGUAGGAUAUAUCUCCCGGUUCCGAACCGUUGCUGCUGGCGUUUCGGCCGAAAAGAUACGGUUUAUCGGAGAGGGAGUUUCCAUCGGGAACAACUCCGG